AAAGGGUCAGGUUUGGGUUUAGGGCAAGGAGAGUUACUGAUGGCCAGCAGUGUGAUUCUGCAGCAUUGUCAUUGCCCAUAUGGCCAGAGAAUUAAAAAAGUAAAUACAAAGACUGCAUCUGUGUGUGGAUAGCAGCUGGGAGCUCACCAGGAAAGUGCAAAUGUAACCAUGGUGUUCACAAGAGGGGCAUGGCUCCGGGGUAAGCUUCAUCCCCAGUUUCCAGCUCCAUUUAACAGCAGCUCAAACACACCAUGACUGAGGCCUCUGUGAUGCUCAGCAUUAUUUGGAAGCCCAGCAAAGCAGCACAUGUUUAAUCCAAAGGAUGUUGCUACGUACCAUCCAUCCAAACUUCUGGAUAUCUACUGCAAAUCAAGUGCCAGGGAUUAAACUCCUGGUGUUCUGCAUCCAAAUGAGAUUUCUACUGGGCCAGAAAUACUUGCUUUUAGAAUUGAUUGUGUGAAACAUCGUGCUACAAUUUGAAUGAUCCUUUGAUGACUGGACUUUCUGGGAUAGAAGUUCCAAUAUGCUGUUGCAGUCAGGGAGGAACUGAGAAGCAGAGAACACAAAGGAAAACCCGGGGUUUACGCUUAAGACAAGGUUUCUUCAUGUUUUGCAGUAUGUCCCAGGUGCGGGGUAAGUCAGUGGAAGAUAUCACGGGAGGAGCAGGAACGCAGGGCUGGCGGAUGGAAAGCCGGGCUGUUCUCUGCAGCCAGCCCGAGCCCGAGGGCGUUCAGCGGCCUCUAAUGCCCUCUGAUGGACAAAAGCAUCGCAGCCGCGGCUCUGCCAGGGAGGCUCCUGGUUAAACCUGCCUUUGAGGGGCUUGGAGCUGAGAAGGUGAAGUCACCUCUUACUAAAGCUUGGCAGAUCCUUUUCUUCCUCCUUUACUGAGGUUUGUUUGUUUGGCUUAAGAACAGGAGGGAAAUAUUUUUGACCCUGAUGGCAGACUUGGCACAGUUCCCCCACAGUAACACCACGUCCAUCAGGAAUUGGGAUCAGACCUGUGCCUUACAGAGCAAUGCUUCCAGAAAGGA